GACGAACGCUGGCGGCGUGCUUAACACAUGCAAGUCGAACGGAAAGGCCCUGCUUUUGUGGGGUGCUCGAGUGGCGAACGGGUGAGUAACACGUGAGUAACCUGCCCUUGACUUUGGGAUAACUUCAGGAAACUGGGGCUAAUACCGGAUAGGAGCUCCUGCUGCAUGGUGGGGGUUGGAAAGUUUCGGCGGUUGGGGAUGGACUCGCGGCUUAUCAGCUUGUUGGUGGGGUAGUGGCUUACCAAGGCUUUGACGGGUAGCCGGCCUGAGAGGGUGACCGGCCACAUUAGGACUGAGAUACGGCCCAGACUCCUACGGGAGGCAGCAGUGGGGAAUAUUGCACAAUGGGCGGAAGCCUGGUGCAGCAACGCCGCGUGCGGGAUGACGGCCUUCGGGUUGUAAACCGCUUUCGCCUGUGACGAAGCGUGAGUGACGGUAAUGGGUAAAGAAGCACCGGCUAACUACGUG
rnacentral:rRNA from 1 species